AAUUGUUCAACAAAAGUCAUCCAAAUCUCCUUCCAAUCGAUUCAAACAAAACGACACAACUUUAAAUUCAAAUCAAGAUUCAAACCAACAGUAUCAAAUUUUCAUCAAAAGUUCCAAUUGGUUCUAAAUCAUGGUAUUGUCGUCAUAGUUUCAACAUAUGGGUCUCGAGCGAAUACAACAACAACACCAACCAUAGGCAAUACAAGUUAUCACGAUCAAGAAAACAAACGUCGACAUCAAUAUGUACCAAUCAGAUUCGACACGGAUAAACUCAACGAUAUGGUUUGGCUAUAUUCAAACAAGCGAGAAUAA